rnacentral:rRNA from 1 species
AUGAACGCUGGCGGCGUGCUUAACACAUGCAAGUCGAACGGAAAGGCCCAAGCUUGCUUGGGUACUCGAGUGGCGAACGGGUGAGUAACACGUGGGUGAUCUGCCCUGCACUUCGGGAUAAGCCUGGGAAACUGGGUCUAAUACCGGAUAGGACGAUGGUUUGGAUGCCAUUGUGGAAAGUUUUUUCGGUGUGGGAUGAGCUCGCGGCCUAUCAGCUUGUUGGUGGGGUAAUGGCCUACCAAGGCGUCGACGGGUAGCCGGCCUGAGAGGGUGUACGGCCACAUUGGGACUGAGAUACGGCCCAGACUCCUACGGGAGGCAGCAGUGGGGAAUAUUGCACAAUGGGCGCAAGCCUGAUGCAGCGACGCCGCGUGGGGGAUGACGGCCUUCGGGUUGCAAACUCCUUUCGCUAGGGACGAAGCGUUUUGUGACGGUACCUGGAGAAGAAGCACCGGCUAACUACGUG